CCUACGGGUGGCAGCAGUGGGGAAUGUUGCGCAAUGAUCGUAAGAGUGACGCAGCGACGCCGCGUGAAUGACGAAGGCCUGCGGGUCGUAAAGUUCGUUCGACAGGGAAGAAAAUGCAGAUAAGUAACGGUGUAUGUAUGGACGGUACCGGUAGAAGCAGCCCAGGCUAACUCCGUGCCAGCAGCCGCGGUAAUACGGAGGGGGCGAGCGUUGUUCGGAGUGACUGGGCGUAAAGAGCACGGAGGCGGUGUGGUAAGUCAUUAGUCCAAGACUAGCGCUCAACUUUAGUACGGCUAGUGCUACUUUAAUCCUAGAGUAUCCGAGAGGAUUGCCGACUUCCUGUUGUAGC
rnacentral:rRNA from 1 species